rnacentral:lncRNA from 1 species
AAAAAAUACCCUUCCCCUCUUAAAUUAAAAAAAAAAAAGAAAAAUUCCUUUCACCUCACAAAAAUACUACCCGAUGCUCAAUUUGCCAAAAGAAUGCCGAUCUCAACGCUACCCUCCUCCCCUUCCUUUCCCCCCUCUCGAAAGAAAACUGCAUCCCCCGUGCAACACCCCAUUACAUUCCAUCUUCGAAGCGAGGCAUCAUCGCCCCCUAAAAUUCCCCGAAUACCUCCCCAUAAACCACCAUCCUCUCCCUUCACCCCCCUUCCGUGCCCCCCCCCCCUUCGCGUGGCUCGUCCAUUUUUCUCUGUCCAGCCUGGUGGGGGCACUCGGCGGUGUGUCCCCUUCGGCAGCGUACAAAAGCCUCGGUUUGCGUGCGCCGGUAUCUCCGACCUUAGACCCCAAGCUCGGCUCCUUAUUUCUCUUGGGGAGACGAGCAGGCUCGAAAAAACACGGGCGCGCGUGUUAUCGCGUGCGCGCAGGGGGCAUCGCGGCUAUCCUCCGUCCGUGGGUCACGCCGUGGGGUCAUCCUCGUGACCCGGCCGGAUCCGUCCGCCUAGCGAUGGGAACGAGAUGGGUUCGAUCCUCGGCAACGUUCCGUUGUUCCGAAUGAGCUGAUAAGUCGGAUGAUGGGAUUUUCUCGCUGGUUUAUUCGGGGAGGAUGGAGGGGGAGGGUGAUGUUAAUGGCGAGGGGGAGAAGAGAGGGGGGAUUUUAAACGGAUCGAUCUUGGAUAUUUGACGAUGGAAUUUUAGAACGAGUUAACGUUUUAUAGAAUAUUGGAGUAUUGUAUUGUUGUUUUCUACUAUAAUAAUAAUACGUUUUUGUUAUAAAGGGAAUAAAGGAGAGUUUCUUCUUUUUUUUUUCUUUCUUUCUUUCAAAUUCAUCAAUAUUUAUAAUAUAUUUAAUAAAAUCGGAAAGAGGAUGAUUAGAAAUUAUAAAUAUCGUACGCCAGCCGAGACAAUGAUAGUUUGGUGGUGUUGAAAUGGUUCUUUUCCACUUGAUUAUACAGAAGUCAUCGAUUUCAAAUGUGACCCAAGAUUUGCAAAUAAAUGGAACUAGAGGCUCUAAUCUGUGUAAUUUUUACAUACAUAAAUUCUUUUAUGCGAAACAGCUCUCGUUUCUUUUUCUUCUUCAAUUUUAUUAUAUAAAUUUUUCACUAUAUACGCGAUAGACCUUAACAUCGUCUUAUGAAAAUUCUUGUCAGAAAUUAACUUGGUUACAUUUUUUCUCUUUGGCUCGGCUAAGAUGAUCUUCUUUCAUCGAACGCAAGAACGAAAUUCUUUAUUAAAUAAUGAAUUUCUAUUUUCCAAAUCACACGAUCUCGCUCACUUUUUAUAUUUUAUCGCAUCCCAUCUUCGUAUUAUCUUAAAUACCAUCUCCUUUUCGUAAUUUGAUUCUUUCAUCAAAUCCACCAUUGCAAUUAAUAGUAUCUGCACAAGAUCCGUUCCAACCGCAUAGUUACAAGAAGCGCAUCGAGCCUCGAUGACUCACGAUUCUCCGUCUUCUAACAAGUCUUCUGAACGUGGAAAUUCCAUCGAACGGAAGGGAGGGGAGGGGGAGAGGCGGAAGGACAUCGACUGUGCGAUAAUCCAGAAUCUGGCUUCUGAUAAACGGUUCUGAUAAUACUGGCAGCCGAUAAACCACGGGGGCUGUUUACUCGUGGCUCAGUCACAGCGUACGUAUAUACACGAUAAACACGUAUAUUCCUGGUCACAUUGCUAUCUACACACUGGCUGCUCCCCCCCUCCGCUGAAUCGUGAUCGAUCUGGCCGCGCGGGCAGAUCGGACGAUUGUUGCACGACUGGUCGAGAGAAUGGUUUGAAGAAGUUGGAAUUAGAAGAAAGUUGAAACAGAAGAUUCUCCGUUAUUUAUAGAGCGAUCGUCGUACGUAAGACGAUACGUAAUAUAACUUUUACCAUUGUUUGAAAAUGUUAAAGAUAAAGAUUGUAUAUACAGUUAUUUAGUGAAAUAAUAUUAUGUCACGACAAUUUCUCAGAUACGAUCACUAAGAAAUGCAAUCUGAACAUUUCUAAAACUUUAGAGGUUACAAAAUCGUCAAAAGUAUCCAGUUUUUUUUUUAAAAAUAUAGAUAAAUUCGAUUCCACGCGCAAAGUUUCCAAAAACAGUUUCCGUGCUCGAUUCGAAUCGUUCUAAUUAUCCUCGAUCUUUCGCAUCGAGUCCUAUUAAACGACUGCGCGGCCAACAAUCAAUUCUUUCUGCCGAGAAAGGAAGAAAAAAAGAAGAGAGAGGGAGAGAAAGAGACAGAAGAAAGGAAAGAAAGUACGAAAGGGAAUAAAAAAUGGAUCAUCAUCACGAGCAAUCAGCGUAAUCAUCGAAUCGGCCGGUCUCUCUGAUUGUCCGGUGGUCAGGUAAAAUUAAUAAAUCGAGGGGCCGACAAUCGAGCGGACCCAUCUCGAGCGCGUGACAUUUAAGGGAAAAAGAAAAGCGAGAGUCGCGGGGAAGCGAAGCGGCGAGAGAGAGCGUAAUCUCAAUGGUCGUCGGACCGGCUGCUCGUUGGAGCUGGUUGGGGCUGGCCGGUUGGUUUGGCCCACUGGAGCGGACACCCGGAGGAAGCACACCCGCCGGAACGUGGCACGCUUUGUAGCCUCGCGCACGGUACACCGGCACACGUGCAGCCACGGAUACUCGCGGACACUUCCACGCGAGUAUAUAUACUUGGCCAGUAUCAUCUACAGGGUGGCCCUUUCAUCUUUGACACGGUGUAUUGUGUUCGUGUCGCGUUCUUUUUAGGGUAUUGUUGUUGCAAGAGGUUUGAAAUAGUCCAUUGUGCUGUGCUUAGUUGCGAUAUUGUGGAAAUAUUGUAUCAGAGUCGAAUGAGAGUGGAGCGAGAUGGAUAUUUCGUUUGUUUUUUCUCUUUUUGUUUGAGAAAGUUGUAGAUAGUUUGAAGCGAGAUUCGUUCCUGAGAUUUUGUGCAAUCUGAUGUUUGAUAAUAUUCGGAGAGAUUAUUCUUAGUCUUUUUUUUUCUUCUUCUUGAAAGCUUCUUCUUUAUUCUUGAAGAUGUUGAAAGAAGUUUGGGAUGAAGAAAGUUUGAUGAGGAAAUAUAAAAGGUUGAAAUAAGUGAAAAUCAUUUAUUCGUUAAAGAACAGGUGUAUACGAGACAAUUCCAAUUAAAUAUAAUAUAAAUUCAA